rnacentral:rRNA from 1 species
UACGGGGGGGGCAAGCGUUGUCCGGAAUCAUUGGGCGUAAAGAGCGUGUAGGCGGCCCGAUAAGUCCGCUGUGAAAGUCCAGGGCUCAACCCUGGGAUGCCGGUGGAUACUGUCGGGCUCGAGUCCGGAAGAGGAGUGUGGAAUUCCUGGUGUAGCGGUGAAAUGCGCAGAUAUCAGGAGGAACACCGGUGGCGAAGGCGGGUCUCUGGGCCGAUACUGACGCUGAGGAGCGAAAGCGUGGGGAGCGAACAGG